AACAACUCACCUGCCGAAUGAAUUAGCCCUGAAAAUGGAUGGCGCUUAAGCGGGUAGCCGACACCGCACCGUUUGGGCAAGAAAAUGUGAACUAUGGAUCCCAAAUGAGUAGGAGGACGUGGCGGUCGUAUCGAAGCGUACGUGCAAACGUGCGUGGAACGGCCGCUAGUGCAGAUCUUGGUGUUAGUAGCAAAUAUUCAAAUGAAAACCUUGAAGGGCGAAGCGGGGAAGGGUUCCACGCGAACAUUGAUUGGGCGUGGGUGAGUCGUUCCUAAACCACGUGGCAAUAGCUAAGUACUGGUGAAAGGGAAGCAGGUUGACAUUCCUGCACACGAAUGUAGACGCGGUGACGCACUUGUGGGGGCGGUGAAGCUGGCGGUGGCACUGGGCAGAGAUGUCUUUUCUGUUUGACUGAGUCUGGGAUGCUGUGUGGAAUCCGCUUGUCGGGAGAUGCACGCAUACUUGGGCAUAGCGCCGGGGUGUUUUCCGGCGUCCAGAUCGCCAUCGUUGGACCUUGAAAAGCCGUCUGCUGGCACUCGACUAGUAAGUCUUGUGUGAAAGAACUCUACGUCGUAACGUACCCAUAACCGCAUCAGGUCCCCAAGGUGAACAGCCUCUGCUCGAUAUGAAAAAU
rnacentral:rRNA from 1 species